GACGAACGCUGGCGGCGUGCUUAACACAUGCAAGUCGAACGGAAAGGCCCUGCUUUUGUGGGGUGCUCGAGUGGCGAACGGGUGAGUAACACGUGAGUAACCUGCCCUUGACUUUGGGAUAACUUCAGGAAACUGGGGCUAAUACCGGAUAGGAGCUCCUGCUGCAUGGUGGGGGUUGGAAAGUUUCGGCGGUUGGGGAUGGACUCGCGGCUUAUCAGCUUGUUGGUGGGUAGUGGCUUACCAAGGCUUUGACGGGUAGCCGGCCUGAGAGGGUGACCGGCCACAUUGGGACUGAGAUACGGCCCAGACUCCUACGGGAGGCAGCAGUGGGGAAUAUUGCACAAUGGGCGGAAGCCUGAUGCAGCAACGCCGCGUGCGGGAUGACGGCCUUCGGGUUGUAAACCGCUUUCGCCUGUGACGAAGCGUGAGCGACGGUAAUGGGUAAAGAAGCACCGGCUAACUACGU
rnacentral:rRNA from 1 species